CCAAAGGAAGAAGCAUUACCGUAAGGAGAUGUGGACAUAUAAGAAGUGAGAAUGCCGGUAUGAGUAUCGAAAAGAAAGGUGAGAAUCCUUUCCACCGAAAGCCCGAGGGUUCCUGAGCAACGAUCGUCGACUCAGGGUAAGUCGGGACCUAAGCCGAGGCGGAGACGCAUAGGCGAUGGACAACAGGUUGAAAUUCCUGUACCGGAUGGAGUCAAUUGAGCGAAGGAGCGACGCAGGAGGGCACAUGAUCGCGCGGCUGGAAGAGCGCGUCCAAGUGCGUAUGCGUAGAGGGAGGCAAAUCCCCCUUUACAGAAGCAGAGACAUGAUGGGGAGUUAAAGGAGACUUUGACGAACUCAUGGAUCCCACACUGCCAAGAAAAACUUCUAGCGAGACGAAAUCCGCCCGUACCGUAAACCGACACAGGUAGGCGGGGAGAGAAUCCUAAGGUGCGCGGGAAAACCCUCGUUAAGGAACUCGGCAAAUUGCAUCCGUAACUUCGGGAGAAGGAUGACCCUGAGUAGGCGAAAGGGAGAAACCCCCGGAACAGAAAAAGGUGGCAGAAAAGAGGCCCAAGCAACUGUUUACCAAAAACACAGGUGCCUGCGAAAACGAAAGCUGAAGUAUAGGUGCUGACGCCUGCCCGGUGCUGGAAGGUUAAGGAGAGAGGUCAGCGAAAGCGAAGCUUUGAACUGAAGCCCCAGUGAACGGCGGUCGUAACAAUAACGGUCCUAAGGUAGCGAAAUUCCUUGUCGGGUAAGUUCCGACCCGCAUGAAAGGCGUAAUGAUUUGGGCACUGUCUCAACGAGGGGCCCGGUGAAAUUGAAAUACCUGUGAAGAUGCAGGUUACCCGCGACUGGACAGAAAGACCCCAUGGAGCUUCACUGCAGCUUGAGAUUGAAUCCCGGUGACAUAUGCACAGGAUAGGUGGGAGGCUAAGAAGUAAUGCCUUUGGGUGUUACAGAGCCGAUGUUGGGAUACCACCCUUAUGUUGCUGAGAUUCUAACACGGAGACUAACAACCUCGUGGACCAUCUCAGGCAGGCGGUUUGACUGGGGCGGUCGCCUCCUAAAAUGUAACGGAGGCGCCCAAAGGUUCCCUCAGGCCGGACAGAAACCGGCCGAAGAGUGCAAAGGCAGAGGGGAGCUUGACUGCGAGACAGACAAGUCGAGCAGAGACGAAAGUCGGGCUUAGUGAUCCGGUGGUACUGAGUGGAAAGGCCAUCGCUCAACGGAUAAAAGCUACCCUGGGGAUAACAGGCUAAUCUCUCCCAAGAGUUCAUAUCGACGGGGAGGUCUGGCACCUCGAUGUCGGCUCAUCACAUCCUGGAGCUGGAGUAGGUUCCAAGGGUUGGGCUGUUCGCCCAUUAAAGUGGUACGCGAGCUGGGUUCAAAACGUCGUGAGACAGUUUGGUUCAUAUCCAUCGCGGGCGCAAGAAGUUUGAGGGAGGCUGCUCCUAGUACGAGAGGACCGGAGUGGACGGAUCAACGGUGUACCAGUUGUCACGCCAGUGGCACGGCUGGAAAGCCGCAUCCGGAAAGGAUAAACGCUGAAAGCAUCUAAGCGUGAAGCCCGUCCCGAGAUGAGACUUCUCAUCAGCAAUGAGUAAGACCCCUUAAAGACGAUGAGGUUGAUAGGCUGUGAGUGGAAGUGGCGCAAGUCAUGGAGCGACGCAGUACUAAUAGGUCGAGGUCUUAGUU
rnacentral:rRNA from 1 species